GACGCAGCAAGCCUCCCAGGGAAGAGAAGAAGAGAAAUUCGUUUACGGUGAAUUCAAUUUCCCGUAACUUUCCCGUUCGAGCUCCAAUCGCCGCACUGUUUGCGGCCACGCGUUCACCGCGUUGAGCUCUACAUUUCUACCGGAACAAUUUCAUAGGAUCCAAUUAGCUUGAGGGAGACGUUCACUCUUGCUUAUGUGAAGCUUGGGUAAGGUUGUGAAUAAAUAAUUGGAGCUUGAAAUUGUGAAUAUUGGAACUUGGAGGAAGCUGAUUAGUUGAGUUUUGAGGGGCUGCCUUGGUUUUAAAUAAUUUGCUUUGGUCAUUACGUGGAAAUCGGCCAAGAUGCAGGUCGAGAGGCAUCUCGU